GAGGGUAUAGCUCAAAUGGUAGAGCAAAUGCUUAGCAUGCAUAAUGUCUUGUGUUCAGUCCCCACUACCUCCU
rnacentral:tRNA from 1 species